UUAGCCAUGCAUGUCUGAGUUCAUACCUAGUUAACGUGAGACUGCGAAAGGCUCAGUACAUCAGUUAUAGUUUAUUCGAUUAUGAAUCCACAUGGAUAACCGUGGAAAAUCUAGAGCUAAUACAUGCGAAAAAGGCAUUGGACCAGAACUUCUCUCAGUUUGAUCGAUUAAUUAGAAAAAGCCAGUCGAUGGUGCGAUGGUAACUGUUGCAUCAUUGUUGUGGUGAGUCUGGAUAACUGUGCCGAUCGUAUGGCCUUGAGCCGGCGACAUUUCGAUUAAAUUUCUGCCCUAUCAACUUGUUGGUAAGGUAGUGGCUUACCAAGGUGAUAACGGGUAACGGGGAAUCAGGGUUCGAUUCCGGAGAGGGAGCCUGAGAAACGGCUACCACAUCCAAGGAGGGCAGCAGGCGCGCAAAUUACCCAGUCCAGACACUGGGAGGUGGUGACGAGUAAUACCAGGUCGUUCCCAAAAGGAUUCGACACUGGAAUGAGUGCAAUUUAAGAAUGUCAACGAGUAACAACUGGAGGGCAAGUCUGGUGUUAGAAGCCGCGGUAAUUCCAGCUCCAGUAGUGUAUCCAUACGUAGCUGCGGUUAAAACGCUCGUAGUUGGACAAGAGAGCAACUUGGUGCAGGCGGGAUUUGAUUUCCACUCUGCACAUACCCUUGCGGAGGCUUGACUGAAAAGUAUCUGGGCACAUUCUUGUCAAUCUAUGCGUGAUGGGAAUUGACAUUGCAAUUAUUGUCAACCACACAGCCAAGCUACUUGUAUUGUUCUCUGAGAAUAACGUAUGGCCUUCACUGUAUAGUACUACAUAUCUCACGUAGUGUGCCUUGAAUAAAUCAGAGUGCUCAAAGCAAGCUAUUCGCUUGAAAGUUAAUAGCAUGGAACGAAUGUUUAGUCGCAAUGUCAGGAAGUAGCGUGAGGUUUUCCGUGUGAACCAAAUUACACAGCACCAACCCUGGAGCGGAGCAUUGGCUGCCAACUUCCGGGUGAGGAUUAAGAGGGGCAUUUGGGGGCAUUAGUAUUUGGCCGCGAGAGGUGAAAUUCUUAGACCGGCCAAGGACUAACAAGUGCGAAAGAAUUAGCCAAGUAUGUUCCCUUUAAUCAAGAACGAAAGUGAGAGGAUCGAAGACGAUCAGAUACCGUCUUAGUUCUCACCGUAAACGAUGCCAACCCGGGAUCAGUUCGGAUGAAUAUUUGCUGGAUCCAGGUUGGUCCCCCUGGGAAACCUUGAGUCUUUAGGUUCCGGGGGGAGUAUGGUUGCAAGGCUGAAACUUAAAGGAAUUGACGGAAGGGCACCACCAGGGGUGGAGCCUGCGGCUUAAUUUGACUCAACACGGGAAAACUCACCUGGUCCGGACAUCGAUAGGAUUGACAGACUAAUAGAUCUUUCAUGAUACGGUGGGUGGUGGUGCAUGGCCGUUCUUAGUUCGUGGAGCGAUCUGUCAGGUUUAUUCCGGUAACGAACGAGACCACGUUCUUCAUUUGGGGAGCUAGAGGACAGGUAUUGGUUGUUGUGGGUUGUAGUGUUUUGAAUAAAUGGUGAGCAAUUAUUGCUUGUUUGACUACGGUACUUGCGGUAGUUGCACCUAGUGCUCGCGCACAGCAAUGUGCGUCCCCUUUGGAGAGACAGCCGGAUUUUAAGCCGGAGGAAGCGUGGCAAUAACAGGUCUGUGAUGCCCUUCGAUGUUCAGGGCCGCACGCGCGCUACAAUGAUAACGACAGCGAGAGUCUGGACUGAAAAGUUCUGGGUAAUCUUGUGAAUCGUUAUCGUGAUGGGGAUUGAGCAUUGUAAUUGUUGCUCAUGAAAUAGGAAUCCCUUGUAUACGUGUCUCACUUAAGACACGUAGAAUGCGUCUCUGCCCUUUGUA
rnacentral:rRNA from 1 species